UAUACAAAUAAUGGAUUGGCC
rnacentral:siRNA from 1 species